CAGCUUUGCAGUUGUCCUUCCAGUCCAGUCUGUGUUCAAGUGGACUCCCAGUCGGUGCUGACGGGGGCCUCCGAUCUUUGGCGGCGUCAGCGAUGGAUAAGCUGGACGCUGUGGUGUAAAUAUCUUCUCGGGAUGGAGCUGUGAUGAUGAUGGAAGGUGGGCUUGAGGACCAGUCCGGUGAAUCUGAGGACUCCGUUGGGGUCUGUGAGGACGGGGCCAUGUCUGAAAGAGGGAGGAAUAAACUUCCAAGUU